AAGAGGGUUUUGGAUCAUGGCUCAGGGCGAACGUUAGCGGCGGGCCUAACACAUGCAAGUCGAACGAGAACGCUCCUUCGGGAGUUAUUAAAGUGGCGCACGGGUGAGGAACGCGUAGGUAAUCUACCCUCCGGCGGGGGACAACAUUCCGAAAGGAAUGCUAAUACCGCGUAAGACCACGCCCACUGCGGUGGAAGUGGUUAAAGACGGCCUCUUCUUGAAAGCUGUCACCAGAGGAUGAGCCUGCGUCCCAUCAGCUUGUUGGUGAGGUAAUGGCUUACCAAGGCGAAGACGGGUAGCUGGUCUGAGAGGAUGAUCAGCCACACUGGCACUGGAACACGGGCCAGACUCCUACGGGAGGCAGCAGUGAGGAAUAUUGGGCAAUGGGCGCAAGCCUGACCCAGCCACGCCGCGUGUGUGAUGAAGGCCUUCGGGUCGUAAAGCACUGUGGGGAGAGACGAACAAUUUCCGUCCUAAUACGACGGAGACCUGACGGUACCUCCUUAGCAAGCACCGGCUAACUCUGUGCCAGCAGCCGCGGUAAUACAGAGGGUGCAAACGUUGCUCGGAUUUACUGGGCGUAAAGCGCGUGUAGGCGGACUCGCAAGUCGGUUGUGAAAUCCCUGGGCUUAACCUAGGAACUGCAUCCGAAACUGCGUGUCUUGAGUAAUGGAGAGGGUGGCGGAAUUCCCGGUGUAGAGGUGAAAUUCGUA
rnacentral:rRNA from 1 species